GUGUUUGCUUUGGAAGCACAUAUACUAAAAUUGGAAUGAUACAGAGAUUAGUGUGGUUGCUGUGCAAGGUUGACAUGCAAAUUCAUGAAGUGUUCAAUAUUUUU